AUUCAGCUGAUGGGUCCCAACUGGGACGAAACGCGCGUCCUGGAU
rnacentral:hammerhead_ribozyme from 1 species